AUUGAACGCUGGCGGCAUGCCUUACACAUGCAAGUCGAACGGUAACAGGUCUCCGGAUGCUGACGAGUGGCGAACGGGUGAGUAAUACAUCGGAACGUGCCUAGUAGUGGGGGAUAACUACUCGAAAGAGUGGCUAAUACCGCAUGAGAUCUACGGAUGAAAGCAGGGGAUCGCCAGACCUUGUGCUACUAGAGCGGCCGAUGGCAGGUUAGGUAGUUGGUGGGAUAAAAGCUUACCAAGCCGCCGAUCUGUAGCUGGUCUGAGAGGACGAUCAGCCACACUGGGACUGAGACACGGCCCAGACUCCUGCGGUAGGGAGCAGUGGGGAAUUUUGGACAAUGGGCGCAAGCCUGAUCCAGCAAUGCCGCGUGCAGGAUGAAGGCCUUCGGGUUGUAAACUGCUUUUGUACGGAACGAAAAGCCCCGGGUUAAUACCCUGGGGUCAUGACGGUACCGUAAGAAUAAGCACCGGCUAACUACGUGCCAGCCGCCGCGGUAA
rnacentral:rRNA from 1 species